UACGGGGGGGGGGCAAGCGUUGUUCGGAAUUACUGGGCGUAAAGGGCGCGUAGGCGGCUCGCUAAGUCGGGUGUGAAAACUCUGGGCUCAACCCAGAGCCUGCAUUCGAAACUGACGGGCUAGAGUUCUGGAGGGGAAAGCGGAAUUCCUGGUGUAGCAGUGAAAUGCGUAGAUAUCAGGAGGAACACCGGUGGCGAAGGCGGCUUCUGGGACAGAACUGAUCGCUG
rnacentral:rRNA from 1 species